UCGGCAAUGGACGAAAGUCUGACCGAGCAACGCCGCGUGUGCGAUGAAGGCCUUCGGGUUGUAAAGCACUGUCGAGGGGAAACAAGCCGUAAGGUUGAGUGACCCCUGGAGGAAGCACGGGCUAAGUUCGUGCCAGCAGCCGCGGUAAGACGAACCGUGCAAACGUUAUUCGGAAUCACUGGGCUUAAAGGGCGCGUAGGCGGGUGAUCAAGUCAAUGGUGAAAUCCUCCAGCUUAACUGGAGAAGUGCCUUUGAUACUGAUUGUCUAGAGGGAGGUAGGGGCAUGUGGAACUUCAGGUGGAGCGGUGAAAUGCGUAGAUAUCUGAAGGAACGCCAGUGGCGAAAGCGAUGUGCUGGACCUCUUCUGACGCUGAGGCGCGAAAGCUAGGGGAUCAAACGGGAUUAGAUACCCCGGUAGUCCUAGCCCUAAACGAUGGGUACUGGGUUGCGGGUCAGACAUAGACUCGCAGCCGAAGCAAAAGUGUUAAGUACCCCGCCUGGGGAGUAUGGUCGCAAGGCUGAAACUCAAAGGA
rnacentral:rRNA from 1 species